GGCCCUUACGAGUAGGGCUACACACGUGCUACAAUGGCGCAUACAGAGGGCGGCCAACUUGCGAAAGUGAGCGAAUCCCAAAAAGUGCGUCGUAGUCCGGAUUGGAGUCUGCAACUCGACUCCAUGAAGUCGGAAUCGCUAGUAAUCGUGGAUCAGAAUGCCACGGUGAAUACGUUCCCGGGCCUUGUACACACCGCCCGUCACACCAUGGGAGUGGGCUGCAAAAGAAGUGGGUAGUUUAACCUUCGGGAGGACGCUCACCACUUUGUGGUUCAUGACUGGGGUGAAGUCGUAACAAGGUAACCG
rnacentral:rRNA from 1 species